CCCGGUCUUCCUAAGAUCUUCUCAAUGACGAGAGGGAUCCUUCUGUGGAAAGCCCUCUGUGGCUUCUCAGCUCAUCCAGAGAGGAUCCACCCCAGGGGCCAAAGAAUUGUCAACGUGCACCCGAUGCCUCCGACUACCAAGCUUUUGGCGAUCCUCUCCAGCGGCGGUUCCUGUUUCCAGUGUUCGGUUGAAGUUUCUCGGCUCUGCGGUGCCAGGUACCGCUCCUGGUAUUUUGCUGUAAUUUCUCCUGAGCUGUUGUGUCCUCUCCCUUUGUCCUUGUAGAUUAAUACCUUGAUUUCAUUCUUUUACACGCAGUGGUAUUGUAAGCAGUGCAAUCUGUGCGACAGAGGGCUUCUGAAAGAACCUUGAACUUCUCCAACACGAAGCACUCGGGUGGUGGCUCUUGAGCUAAUCUCUGUGUGCCAAAGCGGCCGCCCCUGCAAGUCUGCGUCUUCAGCUCUGACAGCUCUCACAUGUGGACCCUGCAGGCAGCGAGCGGCAGGCAAGUGACCCGUUUGAGAAGGUCAGCUGGUGGGUAGGUGGGAAGCCUAAUUAAUGGGUACCAUACAGGUAGUGCCCAAAUCAUUCCUUUUGUAUGAAGGAGGAAUGCCAGCGUCAAAGGUAAGGGGCCCUUUGGCCAUCCCCCAGCAAUUUUUAUUCUCUCCCCAAAAGUUCUUAACAUUGCACAGCUUACACAGUAUAUCUUUAGUCUUUCUUCUGUGCUUUCGUGUCUAGAAAACUAGGAAGACCCGGCCGGGUUUAUUAAGGGAUUGGAGGGGAGAGUACAGGAAUGAUGAGGCCGUUCCGCACCGUGCUUUCGUCGCUCCCGGUGAUGCCUGCAGAUUCACCUCGACCUCUGCAAAGUAGUUCAUCCAAUAUAUGAGGUGUCCAGUUGUUUACAAUUUAUAUUGUUUACAUAUCAUGGUUGAUGUAGCCAUUUCCCUGUUAACAGGCAUUUACCCUUGUACCAUUGUGAUUAAACGUGGCUGUCUGUAACCGAGAAAGCCGAAGUAGCAGCAGUUCGACUAGGAUAUUCUCUGUUCACUUACAGAAAGUCUAGAAGGUGGUGGUCUGGGCCAGCCUGGUGGCUUCUAGCUCUUGGUAACCCGCUCGCGGUCGAAGUUGGGUGCCGCAGUCUUCGGGAGCACCUCCUCUCUCCCACGACCGGGAGGUCUGGCAUUGACUCUGACUCUUUAGGUGUUGAUCACAGGACAGUUUGGGGUGUGGUGGGGUGGGGGGAGAAGGUUAAAGCGGCCUGGGCAGUGGAAGUCAAGGACACUUGCAGGACGUGAGGUGGAGGCUGUCCGCCAACCGAAUGGGAAACAGUUCAGUAUCUCAGUAGCUGGUGGAGCCCGCCUGUGUGUACCCUUACUGUGUGCCCGUGCUGUUGCUCUGAGUACGUCCCCAGGGUCAUAGGAUGUGUGCUUUCAAUUUGGAUAGCUCUUCCCAAAUCGGCUCCUCUGAUCGUACCCUCCCAAGCUCAUCAACUCUACGUAUUAAGAGAUUGUUUCGUUUUUUGUUUGUUUGUUUGUUUGUUUGUUUUUAAAGAUUUU
rnacentral:lncRNA from 1 species